rnacentral:tmRNA from 1 species
GGGGGCGUAAAUGGCUUUCGACGGGGAUCAGUGAGAGCUUAUAAGCGAGCCGUGGCUCCGGGCCACGUUAAAACCGGAAACUUAAAUAUUAAACGCAAACAAUAACGUAGCGUACGCUGCUUAACGCAGCCAUCGGCCCAAGCUGCCCACGGUUUGGAUAACCGGUGUCAAAAAGUGGGGUACCAGCAUGCCUAAGCUUUGCCGCAUGUGGGAUUUAUGAAGCUACUGAAAGCGGAAUGUUGUCAUUGACAGUCCGACAGAGGGAAUGUAAAAGCAAUGACUGCGCUCGGAGAAAGUAGGCAGGAUCGGUUUUCGGACAGGGGUUCGACUCCCCUCGUCUCCACCA